AUGCUCGCUUCAGCAGCACAUGUACUAAAUUGAAAUGAUACAGAGAUUGGCAUGGCCCCUGGGGGAGGACAACACGCAAAUUCAUGAAGUGUUCCCUACGUUU
ensembl:snRNA U6 U6 spliceosomal RNA